GUAGGGAAUCUUCCACAAUGGACGAAAGUCUGAUGGAGCAACGCCGCGUGAGUGAAGAAGGUCUUCGGAUCGUAAAACUCUGUUGUUAGAGAAGAACGUGCAUGAUAGUAACUGAUCGUGUAAUGACGGUAUCUAACCAGAAAGCCACGGCUAACUACGUGCCAGCAGCCGCGGUAAUACGUAGGUGGCAAGCGUUGUCCGGCUUUAUUGGGCGUAAAGGGAACGCAGGCGGAUUUUUAAGUAUGAUGUGAAAGCCUUCGGCUUAACCGAAGAAUAGCAUUGGAAACUAGAAGACUUGAGUGCAGAAGAGGAGAGUGGAAUUCCAUGUGUAGCGGUGAAAUGCGUAGAUAUUGACAGGAACACCAGUGGCGUAAGCGGCUAUCUGGACCGAUAUUGACGCUGAGGCACGAAAGCGUGGGGAUCAAACAGGAUUAGAAACCCGUGUAGUCC
rnacentral:rRNA from 1 species